rnacentral:rRNA from 1 species
GACGAACGCUGGCGGCGUGCUUAACACACGCAAGUCGAACGGAAAGGCCCUGCUUUUGUGGGGUGCUCGAGUGGCGAACGGGUGAGUAACACGUGAGUAACCUGCCCUUGACUUUGGGAUAACUUCAGGAAACUGGGGCUAAUACCGGAUAGGAGCUCCUGCUGCAUGGUGGGGGUUGGAGAGUUUCGGCGGUUGGGGAUGGACUCGCGGCUUAUCAGCUUGUUGGUGGGGUAGUGGCUUACCAAGGCUUUGACGGGUAGCCGGCCUGAGAGGGUGACCGGCCACAUUGGGACUGAGAUACGGCCCAGACUCCUACGGGAGGCAGCAGUGGGGAAUAUUGCACAAUGGGCGGAAGCCUGAUGCAGCAACGCCGCGUGCGGGAUGACGGCCUUCGGGUUGUAAACCGCUUUCGCCUGUGACGAAGCGUGAGUGACGGUAAUGGGUAAAGAAGCACCGGCUAACUACGUG